rnacentral:lncRNA from 1 species
UAAUAAAUAAGAGUACCUGAAAUGAGACAAGCCCAAUUCAAGAUUCUUCUUUUCUUAUCAAUAAAUUAUGAUAAAAGGGUGGUGUUGUGAUUAAAAGGAGACGCAGAUGAAGAAAGAAGAAGAGUCUGGUUGUGUUAUGUUCUUGGGGGUGCGAAUGCAAAAAUGCAAAGAUGCGAUGCCUGUGCGCCAGGUAGCGUCACACGUGGCACUAGCUGGUUUUUCCGUUCUCCUCAGCAUCUUUCUAUUUAUCAUCUUCAUUUUCGAAUAUGCCAUCUUAUUCUAAAAUCCCAUCACCCGUGGAUUAAAAUUUAAAAAUGACUUUUGUAAAUUAAAAAAUACAAAAAAUGAAUUUUCGGAUAAUAAUAUUCGGAUUCUUGAGUUUUAAUAAAAACACAAAUAAUUGUAUAUUUAUAUUCUUUUAUUCAAUUCCCUCUCCGCUCGUAAAAUUCUAAUGCUCUAAUUACAUUGAAUAUUAUUUCCUUAAAAUUUUAUAAUAUAUGGGAUGUUAAAUUAAUUGAGAUAAAUUAUCAAAAUUAUUCUUUAAUUGAAUUGUUAACACAAGUUUAUGUUCACCGGAUAGUUGAGAUAUAUUAGAAUGCAAUUUAGUUAAGUUCCAUAGGAAGAUACGCUUCGACCUCAAUCUUGAUGCAAAGAGGUGAUAACCACCAUUUAGAAGAACAAGUCAAGGAAAUGGGUGCUCCUAAGAACUAAGAUAGGGCCCUUUGUCAACAAAACAAUUUAUUAUGUCUCUAAUUUUUAAUUCCGUAAAAGCUUAAGGGGUCAGUUGUUAUGUCCCAUACGAAGAUUUGUUGUUGAAAAUAUUUUUUAUUUUAUCGGUUUUUUUUUAUUGUAACUUUAAUUAAAAUAUCCGUUGUUAGUUUUUAAGUUUAUGGAAAAUAGAACAUGUUCUUGACUUGUUGUGUUACAUUCAUUGCAUAGGGCUGUAAUAUAGAAGCUUUAGACCUUCAAAAUAUAUCCUUUCAAAUUUCAUCUUAGGUGAUGUGAAGAUAAUUUUUCAUAAUUUUUAAGUAAAUUAAUUACCUUAUCUCCUUAUAUACUUGAUAAAUUUUUGGAUGUGCCUCACUAUCUUUUAUUUAUUUAUUAGAUAUUUUUAUUUUACCACUUGAUUUUUUUGAUAUAUUAUUUUACUACCGAAGUUUUCUAACACUUACUCUUUUGCAUUUAAUGUUUUAGUUUUCAACAUUUUAUCAUUAAACCAUUAACUCCAUUAAUAAAAUAUUGAUGUGACUAGGGUAUUUUAGAAAUUAGCAUAAAACUCACACAACUAUGCUCAUAAGCUUGGCAAUUUCCGCCCAAAACUCAAAGGCACAAUACAAGAGUUUCUCAUUGUGUCUACAUUUAGCAAAGCAAAUGAACAAAUUAUCCAUAUAUGAACUCAUCAAAAGUGCCAAAAAACCAUCAAAUGUUCAGAAAAAAAAAUUAGAAAAAAGCAUACCCAGAUAAAAACACUCAAUUUUUUAAUCAAAACUAAGCAUAAAGACAACUCAUCCUUCAAUCCUGAAUCAAGAAUUCAACAAAACAACCCCAAAGUUGCCGAUUUAGAAAUUAAAAAAGAUGGAGUCUUUAAUAAAUAAGAGUACCUGAAAUGAGACAAGCCCAAUUCAAGAUUCUUCUUUUCUUAUCAAUAAAUUAUGAUAAAAGGGUGGUGUUGUGAUUAAAAGGAGACGCAGAUGAAGAAAGAAGAAGAGUCUGGUUGUGUUAUGUUCUUGGGGGUGCGAAUGCAAAAAUGCAAAGAUGCGAUGCCUGUGCGCCAGGUAGCGUCACACGUGGCACUAGCUGGUUUUUCCGUUCUCCUCAGCAUCUUUCUAUUUAUCAUCUUCAUUUUCGAAUAUGCCAUCUUAUUCUAAAAUCCCA